UGCGGCUUCGCUUCAUGGCCGCUCUCCCGCCCCGCCUGUGCUGUGUGGGGAGAGGGGGAGCCCGCGGCGGCCUGGAGCCGGGGCUGGCGAGCCGAGCGAGGACCGGGGUGCCGCGCCGUUGAGGCGCAGCAUGUGAAGAGGAGACGGCAUCCAGGGCGAGGCGAGCCUCUCAGCCGGCCGGGAUGGCUACGACGGCCGAGCUCUUCGAGGAGCCUUUUGUGGCAGAUGAAUAUAUCGAACGUCUUGUGUGGAGAACCCCAGGAGGAGGCUCUAGAGGGGGACCUGAAGCUUUUGAUCCUAAAAGGUUAUUAGAAGAAUUUGUAAAUCAUAUUCAGGAACUACAGAUAAUGGAUGAAAGGAUUCAAAGAAAAGUAGAGAAAUUAGAGCAACAGUGUCAGAAAGAAGCCAAGGAAUUUGCCAAGAAGGUACAAGAGCUUCAGAAAAGCAAUCAGGUUGCCUUCCAGCAUUUUCAAGAACUAGAUGAGCACAUCAGCUAUGUAGCUACCAAGGUCUGUCACCUUGGAGACCAGUUGGAGGGGGUAAACACACCCAGACAACGGGCAGUAGAGGCUCAGAAAUUGAUGAAAUACUUUAAUGAGUUUCUAGAUGGGGAAUUGAAAUCUGAUGUUUUCACAAAUUCUGAAAAGAUAAAGGAGGCAGCAGACAUCAUUCAGAAGUUGCACCUAAUUGCCCAGGAGUUACCUUUUGAUAGAUUUUCAGAAGUAAAAUCCAAAAUUGCAAGUAAAUACCAUGAUUUAGAAUGCCAGCUAAUUCAGGAAUUUACUAGUGCUCAAAAAAGAGGGGAAAUCUCCAGAAUGAGAGAAGUAGCAGCAGUUUUACUGCAUUUUAAGGGUUAUUCCCAUUGUGUUGAUGUUUAUAUAAAGCAGUGCCAGGAGGGUGCUUACUUGAGAAAUGAUAUAUUUGAAGAUGCAGCAAUACUCUGUCAAAGGGUGAACAAACAAGUUGGCGAUAUCUUUAGUAAUCCAGAAACUGUACUGGCAAAACUUAUUCAAAAUGUAUUUGAAAUCAAACUACAGAGUUUUGUGAAAGACCAGUUAGAAGAAUGUAGAAAGUCCGAUGCAGAGCAGUAUCUCAAAAAUCUCUAUGAUCUAUAUACAAGAACCACCAAUCUUUCCAGCAAGUUGAUGGAGUUUAACUUAGGUACUGAUAAACAGACUUUCUUGUCUAAGCUUAUCAAAUCCAUUUUCAUUUCCUAUUUGGAGAACUAUAUUGAGGUGGAGAUUGGAUAUUUGAAAAGCAGAAGUGCAAUGAUCCUACAACGCUAUUAUGAUUCAAAAAAUCAUCAGAAAAGGUCCAUUGGCACAGGAGGUAUUCAAGAUUUGAAAGAGAGAAUUAGACAACGUACCAACUUGCCACUGGGACCAAGUAUUGAUACUCAUGGGGAAACUUUCCUAUCUCAAGAAGUGGUGGUUAAUCUUUUACAAGAAACCAAACAAGCCUUUGAAAGAUGUCAUAGGCUCUCCGAUCCUUCUGAUUUACCAAGGAAUGCCUUUAGAAUUUUUACAAUUCUUGUGGAAUUUUUAUGUAUAGAGCAUAUUGAUUAUGCUUUGGAAACAGGACUUGCUGGAAUUCCUUCUUCAGAUUCUAGGAAUGCAAAUCUCUAUUUUUUGGAUGUUGUGCAACAAGCCAAUACUAUUUUUCAUCUUUUUGACAAGCAGUUUAAUGAUCACCUUAUGCCACUAAUAAGUUCUUCUCCUAAGUUAUCCGAAUGCCUCCAGAAGAAAAAAGAAAUAAUUGAACAAAUGGAGAUGAAAUUGGAUACUGGCAUUGAUAGGACAUUAAAUUGUAUGAUUGGACAGAUGAAGCAUAUCUUGGCUGCAGAACAAAAGAAAACAGACUUCAAGCCAGAAGAUGAAAACAAUGUUUUGAUUCAGUGUACUAACGCCUGUGUUAAAGUCUGUGCUUAUGUAAGAAAACAAGUGGAGAAGAUUAAAAAUUCCAUGGAUGGAAAGAAUGUGGAUACAGUUCUGAUGGAACUUGGAGUGCGUUUUCACCGACUUGUUUAUGAGCAUCUUCAACAAUAUUCCUACAGCUGUAUGGGUGGCAUGUUAGCAAUUUGUGAUGUAGCUGAAUAUAGGAAGUGUGCCAAAGACUUCAAGAUUCCACUGGUAUUACAGCUUUUUGAUACCCUGCAUGCACUUUGCAAUCUUCUGGUAGUUGCCCCAGAUAAUUUAAAGCAAGUCUGCUCAGGAGAACAACUUGCUAAUCUGGACAAGAACAUUCUUCACUCCUUCGUACAACUUCGUGCUGACUAUAGAUCUGCUCGCCUUGCUCGACAUUUCAGCUGAGGUCGAAUUUACAAGAGAAAUGUGUUGUAUGUCAGCAGGCCUUGGUUGAUAGAAAGCACAGGAGAUUUCUUAUGAUACAGCCAACAUUUUAUGGAAAAAUGACUGGAAACACAGCAGCCAUACUUAAAUUUGAGAUUUUAUUUGAAAUUUGGAUACUACUAGCCAUAUUAUUUUUUCACCCUUAAGUUGAAUAUUAAUUUCAUUUUUGAACGUAUAAAUUUCAUAUUCUAUGAUAAUACAUGUUGUAGUUUUCAUCCUGGACAAUGUUGUUGUCGGAAGGCAAAUAUGUUGCCAGUGUUUUAGUCCUUACUCUUUAGCAUACUCCAAUGGGAAAUUUCACCACCCUGUUUUACAUUAAUAAUGGAUAAAAUACAGCAAAAUUGUAUUUAUUAUUUAUCAUUUUUAAUGACCUUUUCAGCACUCAUUGUUAAUCAAGUUAUUAUAGAUUUUCUUAGAGAACAUUUGCUUCUUUCAGAAGAUUAACCAUUCAGCAUAAUUUCCAUAGUUGGUUGAUUAGACUUUUUUCUGAGGUACAGUAAUACUAUUCCAAGAAAAAUGUUAUAAACUAAAGUGAUGAAAUGUUUUAUGUAGAUAUUAGGAGUAGAUCAGAAUAGAUCUGCUCUCUGAGUAAAAGAAAAACUUAAAGUUUACUAUUUCUUAUUUGGUAAACAGAUUUUAAGCCAAUGCUAGUAAGAAAUUAAUGAAACUACCUUAUUUUAUAUUUCAUUUAAGAUAAGGUGGAGGGCCUUAACUAAAGGACCAUAUUUAUUCAUUAUUUUAAUAUUAUAAGGGAAGUGGAAAAGUGAGGUAUAAGCUAAAUGAUGCAUAUGAGAAAUGAAAUAUUGAAAAUGCUUAGCAACAAUGCAGUUCUUUAAGAUUUCUAUCUUAAUGCUAAACUUGAAUGAAAUGGAAUGACUAAACAUGCAGGUAGUCUUCUAUUUUAAGAGGAGUUGGGAAUUGAUAUUUAGCAUGUAUAUUCUAAGACUGGGGAUGAGCUUUGCAAAGACUUGUUGCUUUUCAAAUCUAUAGUUUCUGUCAUCUUUUUCAAGACAUUUCUGCAGUAAUUCCUGCUGAACGUAGUUAAUUGAAUUGGCUUACUAUGGUGACAUAAUAAAUCACUUAUAAAAUUUUAACUAUCAACCGGAAAUUUAGAAAGGCCGUUACUCUAUAAUCUCUAUAAACUUGUUUAGCAAGAAUGCAUUCUUAAUAUGUAGUGUUUCAGCUUCCAUUGUGUUGUUUAUAAGAACAUAUAAACUUAAAUGUUCAACUCAUUCUUGGCAUUUUUUUUUUCACUUUAAUGUAGGCUUUUUGUCUAAGUUUGGAAAACUGCUUUUCUUUUAAGAUUAUGUUUCUGAAUGUUCAUGAACUUUACCAAAACUUCCAACUCCAGAGCUAGUUACUGUUUAAGUUAUUGUUGACUAAAUUUCCUUCAUUUUUCUGUUUAGCCCAGUGUUAUCAAUGUAAGCAAGAGAAAUGAAGUAUGCCAAAUUUUAUCAAGCAUUUUUUGAAAUUGUGGCAGCUUUAGAAAGCAGUCUAGUUUUCUGUUCCCUAGCUAAGGGAGAACCAGAACAAGUUUGGGAUACUAGAGAAAGUCAUAUGCUUGUACUGUUGCCAUUUUAGAAAGCUCUAAUGUAAAUUCAAAUUAUACCUCUGUUACUUAAAGCCAACAAUUUUAAAGCAGUAGUUUUACUGGCUAUUUGAACUCUUUGUACACAGUGUCAAUUUGUAAAAAAAAAAAAAAAAAAAAAAAGGAAAAAAUAUCAAAUAAAAUGAAGAGAACAUUUUAAGACUUCCACAUUGCAGAAGCAUCAAAUUAUUUUGUUUGGAUUAAGUUUUAAAAUGUAAAGCAUAUAAUUGUUCCUUAAUAUUUUGUUUAUUAUUUCCAUGCUUGAGUUAUGUGCAAUAUUUUCUAUUAUGUCCGUUGAUAGGGCAGUGAUAAAACUCAUAAGUGAAUACUUAAUUUAGACGUGUUAACAUUAAUACUCAAUAAACAAAUUCCCUGCAAUUGUUUUUUUUAUUUCACUCCAUUUUUACAUUUUAAAAACAUUCAUAUUGGUUUUUUAAAUUAUUUUUUCUUACAUUUUUUAGAUAUUCCUGAUUUUUCAUAGGCUAUGUACUCCAGGUUCUUUUUUCUAGCAGAAAAUAGUACUUAACUAUAUAACCAAGGUUAGAAAUUAGCCUAAACAGAUUGUCUUUCUCUAAAAAUUGUUUUGUAUAAAAAAAAUGCAUUCUUUGUAUUCUGACUUUUAAAGUAUCUUCCUAUUUAUGUUCACCACAAAAAUAAUUUGCCCAAAAUUUAUGACUCAACGAAGAUUAUCAAUAAAUACAUGUAUUUCAUAUGCUAAUGGUAAAAUUUUAGGUAGUCAUAAUGGAAACUUUUUAUUAGUAACUUUAGCCAAUAUUUGCUUAAGGAGAACCUUUACGAUUUACCACAAUUCCACAUGAACUAACAUAUUUUGAAGUUGGAAAUAUCCUCUAAAACAUUGCAAAUUGUUUCUUUAAAACUUGUAUAUAUUGUGUUUACAUAAAUGGUACAGAAAGUGAAAUACAGAACACAGAUUUAAGAAGGAAAAGUCUAGCUUCUAUAGUUAAUGAUAUUGAAAAUGACAGUCAACUAGAAUAAAUAAAUAGUACUUAAGAAGAAUCAUUAAGUGACAGCUCAGUUGGAUGGAGCUUUAAACUGUUAAAAACAGUUAAAAACAGUUAACUGUUUUUCCAAGGCAAUUAUUAACCUCAUUUUGAGCAUCACCAUUAUUGGAAGUCACUGGGACUUCCUCUGUUUUAAAAAAGAGCUGCUAAUCCGAACAGAUGAAGACCAGGCACACCCACUGGAAGAUAAAAAAAGACCAAGGAUCAAAUUUCUAGGGUUUUUUUUUUUUUUAAUUUUAUUAUCACUGUUUUCCACUGCUGUUGAUUCUGAUGCCAUUUGAACCUGAAUUUGGACAUCCUCAAUAAAAAGUGCAUUUUGAAAA